rnacentral:lncRNA from 1 species
CAGGGACAGGUUGUUGCCAUUCGAGCCAAAAUGAGUUAUUUCUCAUUUCCUCUAUUGGGAACAAAUAUGUUACCAGAAUUGCUCUAAUACCACAUGUUGAAGGUGGAACUGCUCUGAAACCACCUUGUUGAAUCGAAAGGCGACGGAAGAAUUAAGAUUUAAUGGUGUAAUAUGAAAUUUGUAAGAUCACAACCAAUAAAUUAAGAUUAAAGUAAAGAAACAAAAAGAGAAUUAAGCAAAGGGACCGAUGUUUUAUUUAAUAACAAUAUGGAGAGAAUACAACUACAACAAUGAAACUUCAUAAAUCUAGAAAAAAGAGUCUAGUAUUUAUAGGGAAAAAUUAAUCCAUAGAAGUAGAGUUGUAUAUGAAACAAAAUGCCAAAAAUUUCCUUAUUUGGUCUCAUCAAGUCCAACACAAAUUUCAUCUUCCAAUAGCUUCUAAAUAGAAUUUUAACUAGAAUUUGUCAAUUAAACUUGAAUAGGAUUCCUCAAUAGCAUUCCAUUUAGAAUUCCUCUUGAUAUGUACUUCAAUUGGAACUCUACAAUUAUUUCAAUAAGAAAUUUGGGUUACACCCAAAUUGUAACAAUCUCCACCUUGACAUGAAUUCCACUGCAAUGAACAAAACUCCAAAAUCUCCCCACCUGAAAAAUAAAUCAACUGUAACGAAAUAAACUGAACUUUUCAACCAGAACCAAAACUCUCCAUUCCACAAAAAUAUUUUCCUCUGCAUAGCGUCCACAAUCGACACUUGAAACCUACUCCUAGGUUCCCAAAAUUUCACCUAAGAAUUACUGUUGACCAAACAGAGUCGAAGCACACUCUGUAAUAGAAACCACACAAAAUUCAUGAUCAAAAGGCUCCUUGCUAGAAUUGUUACCUUCAACAAUUCCGAAAACAUUACAGAACUGUCACCUUCAACGGAGGUAGCGUAUCAUGCACCAGUUUGCUAUCAAUUCGUAAUUAUGGAGAAUGCUUUUUUUGGUGUGUUCAAUAAAAAAAAAUGAGAAGUGAUACUAAGAGGAGUUUUUUUUUAAAUGUGUAAUUGAAAGUAGGAAAAAGUUAAGGAGAAAUGUGAUUCUUUUUUUUGGGGGGGGGGGGGGGGGGAGUGUUAAAGAUGAGUGUGAGAUAGAAGUGAUUCUCGAAUAAUCAAAAUCAAACAAGGACUAGAUAAAGAUUGUGAGAUAACAGAACAAUGGAUAUUUCCAUGAAUUUUUGUUCAAGAAUGGUGUCAUCUAUCCAGUAUGGCUUCUUUUGAUAAGAAUAAUAAAUGUAAUCAUGAGAUAGAUAUUAUGGAAACAACUUG